AUGCCUCAACCAUCAAUGAAGGCAUUUGUUCGACUGGUUCGCGGGGUCGCCGCCUCUUCGUCGCUGGCCACCGCAGCAAUGGUGUUGGUGGACUCUGCCGCUUCCGGUGUGAAGGUUGGAAUCAGCGCCGCCAGGAUCUUCGUCGCCGCCACGGAAUGGUGCGGGGCCCUUGAACCAACCCGCGCAGCCAUUGGCGCCUCUGCAGCCCAAAGUGCCCGCCUGGCUUCUCGCCGGUUCGGCCGCACCAAGGCUCGAGGCCGGCUUUGGUGGCUUCGCCGCCGCGGUUCUGGUGAUUGGUGUUGA
rnacentral:rRNA from 1 species